GGGAUACCCGAGGGAAACUUCGGCUAAUACCGAAUACGAAUUUAAGAGGCAUCUCUUGAAUUUGAAAGGGGCUUUCAAGCCCGCUGAUUGAUGGACCUGCGGCGCAUUAGCUAGUUGGUGAGAUAACAGCCCACCAAGGCGAGGAUGCGUAGCCGACCUGAGAGGGUGAACGGCCACAAUGGGACUGAGACACGGCCCAUACUCCUACGGGAGGCAGCAGUAGGGAGUUUUCGGCAAUGGGGGAAACCCUGACCGAGCAACGCCGCGUGAACGAUGAAGGUUCUUCGGAUUGUAAAGUUCUGUUGUAGGGGAUGAAUGAUUCGUGAAGGAAAUGUCACGAAUUUGACAGUACUCUACCAGAAAGCCACGGCUAACUACGUGCCAGCAGCGGC
rnacentral:rRNA from 1 species